GUACAGAGCUGGCAAAGGCCGCUAGGUGAACUAGGCAGUUGCCUAGGGCGCACCAGACCAAGGGGCGCAGUCUCCUGGUGACCGGCUGGUGAGGAGUUCACAGCAUAACACUUCCCUUCAGCCAGUCAGUCAUUGUAGUGUCUAUUUCUUUCUACCAGGGCUGAUAGAAAGUGCUCACAAAGAGUCAAACUUAUUCCUGUCAGACCAGGUGGAGGAAACAGAAGAUCC